CUUGCAAAAGUAGUGUUCAAACGUUCGAGUCAUUCGCACCCAAUCAUGUUGUGGUUAAACAUUGUCGUUGGUAUUCUACUUCUAAGUGCUCCAUUCUCCAUGGGGGAAGAGUGCAAGGCCAGGUGUAAGAUAAAGAAAGCCCUAACCAGAGCAUCAAAGGGUUAAGCGGUUCCAUGGUUAAAGGACGUCAAUAUUAUUGAGCGGAAAUAACAAUGAAAAACAAAUUAUUUUUGUCUGUGCGCUUAAUAAACUUAUCAUAAUCAUUUGAGCAUAACCAAAAA